GUGGGGAAUAUUGGACAAUGGGCGAAAGCCUGAUCCAGCCAUGCCGCGUGUGUGAAGAAGGUCUUCGGAUUGUAAAGCACUUUAAGUUGGGAGGAAGGGCAGUAAGUUAAUACCUUGCUGUUUUGACGUUACCAACAGAAUAAGCACCGGCUAACUUCGUGCCAGCAGCCGCGGUAAUACGAAGGGUGCAAGCGUUAAUCGGAAUUACUGGGCGUAAAGCGCGCGUAGGUGGUUCAGCAAGUUGAAGGUGAAAUCCCCGGGCUCAACCUGGGAACUGCCUCCACAACUGCAUGACUAGAGUACGGUAGAGGGUAGUGGAAUUUCCUGUGUAGCGGUGAAAUGCGUAGAUAUAGGAAGGAACACCAGUGGCGAAGGCGACUACCUGGACUGAUACUGACACUGAGGUGCGAAAGCGUGGGGAGCAAACAGGAUUAGAAACCCUGGUAGUCC
rnacentral:rRNA from 1 species